rnacentral:rRNA from 1 species
UACGUAGGGUGCGAGCGUUAAUCGGAAUUACUGGGCGUAAAGCGUGCGCAGGCGGUUCGUUAAGACAGAUGUGAAAUCCCCGGGCUUAACCUGGGAACUGCAUUUGUGACUGGCGAGCUAGAGUAUGGCAGAGGGGGGUAGAAUUCCACGUGUAGCAGUGAAAUGCGUAGAGAUGUGGAGGAAUACCGAUGGCGAAGGCAGCCCCCUGGGCCAAUACUGACGCUCAUGCACGAAAGCGUGGGGAGAAAACAGG